GACGAACGCUGGCGGCGUGCUUAACACAUGCAAGUCGAGCGAUGAAGUUUCUUCGGAAAUGGAUUAGCGGCGAACGGGUGAGGAACACGUGAAGAAUCUGCCCUCCACUUUGGGAUAACACCGGGAAACCGGUGCUAAUACCGAAUAUUGAAACAUAAGUGGCAUCACUGAGUUUUGAAAGAAUUUCGGUGGAGGAUGACUUCGCGGCCUAUCAGCUAGUUGGUGAGGUAAUGGCUCACCAAGGCAACGACGGGUAGCCGGCCUGAGAGGGCGACCGGCCACACUGGGACUGAGACACGGCCCAGACUCCUACGGGAGGCAGCAGUGGGGAAUAUUGGGCAAUGGAGGAAACUCUGACCCAGCGACGCCGCGUGCGGGAUGAAGGCCUCGGUGUAACCGACUUCAGUAGGGAAGAAGCGAAAGUAGACGGUACCUACAAA
rnacentral:rRNA from 1 species